rnacentral:rRNA from 1 species
AUUGAACGCUGGCGGCAGGCCUAACACAUGCAAGUCGAACGCGUGGCGGAGGGGUGUGUAAUGUCUGGGAAACUGCUCGAUGGCGGGGGAUAAUUACUGGAAACGGUAGUUAAUACCGCAUACCAUCCGAUGUUCCCAGAUGGGAUUAGCUAGUCGGUGGGGUAACGGCUCACCUAGGCGACGAUCCCUAGUUGGUCUGAGAGGAUGACCGGCCACCCUGGAACUGAGACACGGUCCAGACUCCUACGGGAGGCAGCAGUAGGGAAGAUUCCGCAAUGGGCGCAAGCCUGAUGGAGCAAUGCCGCGUGUAUGAUGAAGGCCUUCGGGUCGUAAAAUACUGUCAGCAGGGAGGCGUUACUCGAUGAGAAAGCCCCGGCUAACUCCGUGCCAGCAGCCGCGGUAAUAC